CCUAUAGUGGCUGAAGCAGGGUUUGACUGGCCUUACACACAGGCAGCCCCAAAGGUCAAAGGAUGGCUGCCACAACCCCAGACCUCUUGUCUAUAGUCCAAGCAUGAAGAAGGAGGGAAAAGUUUAGUGAAAUGACAAGGAUGGCCAGUAAAGAGGCACUUUGCUGGCCAAGAACCCCAUGUGGGGCUGUGACAGGCAGAAGGAUGGCUCCUUGAAGAUACUCAUGUCCUAAUUCCCAGAACAUGUGAAUAUGCUACUUCAACAGCAAAAGGGACGUUGCAGAUGUAAAUUACGGACCUCGAGACCGGGAGAUUAUUCUGGAUUGUCUGGUGGACCCACUGUAAUCACAAGGUUCAUAUAAGGGAAAUAGGGAAGCAGGAGAGUCGGAGAAGGAGAUGGGAUGAUGGAGGCAGAGGUUGGAGUGAUGCAAUUGCUAGCUUUGAAGGUAGAGGAAGAGACCUUAAGCCAAGGAAUGUGGGUGGCUUCUAGAAGCUAAAAAAAGGCAAACAAACAAACAAACAACAACCCUGCAACAGAUUCUUCCCUAGACCCUCCAGAAGGAACACUGCCUUGCUAACACCUUGAUUUUAGCCCAGUAAAAUUCAUUUUGAACUUCUA
rnacentral:lncRNA from 10 species